CAGUCGUACCGGCGGAUAAUCAGCCUUUCGGGUGCGAUUCUGUGGGGCGUGAGGAGCUUAACACCUUCAUGCUUUUGCAUAUUCGUGCUCUUGGGUGUACUUGCCCGUGUGGUUGGUUAACAUCAAUUUCGGGCACCAUAAAAUGGCUGGAGGAAUGUAGCUUCGAUCUUGUAUUGAAGUUGUUAUAGCCUUCGGUAGAUGUGGUGAUCGAGAUUGAGGUAUUGCAACGGAUACCGUUUCGGGGCUACCUGUCUGAUCUCUGAUCGUUGCUUUGGU
rnacentral:rRNA from 1 species